UCGAGCGAGUCUGCCUUGAAGAUCGGAGUGCUUGCACUCUGUGAAACAAGAUACAGGCUAGCGGCGGACGGGUGAGUAACACGUGGGUAACCUGCCCAAGAGAUCGGGAUAACACCUGGAAACAGAUGCUAAUACCGGAUAACAACAGAUGAUGCCUAUCAACUGUUUAAAAGAUGGUUCUGCUAUCACUCUUGGAUGGACCUGCGGUGCAUUAGCUAGUUGGUAGGGUAACGGCCUACCAAGGCGAUGAUGCAUAGCCGAGUUGAGAGACUGAUCGGCCACAUUGGGACUGAGACACGGCCCAAACUCCUACGGGAGGCAGCAGUAGGGAAUCUUCCACAAUGGACGCAAGUCUGAUGGAGCAACGCCGCGUGAGUGAAGAAGGGCUUCGGCUCGUAAAGCUCUGUUGUUGGUGAAGAAGGACAGGGGUAGUAACUGACCUUUGUUUGACGGUAAUCAAUUAGAAAGUCACGGCUAACUACGUGCCAGCAGCCGCGGUAAUACGUAGGUGGCAAGCGUUGUCCGGAUUUAUUGGGCGUAAAGCGAGUGCAGGCGGCUCGAUAAGUCUGAUGUGAAAGCCUUCGGCUCAACCGGAGAAUUGCAUCAGAAACUGUCGAGCUUGAGUACAGAAGAGGAGAGUGGAACUCCAUGUGUAGCGGUGAAAUGCGUAGAUAUAUGGAAGAACACCGGUGGCGAAGGCGGCUCUCUGGUCUGUUACUGACGCUGGGGCUCGAAAGCAUGGGUAGCGAACAGGAUUAGAUACCCUGGUAGUCCAUGCCGUAAACGAUGAGUGCUAAGUGUUGGGAGGUUUCCGCCUCU
rnacentral:rRNA from 1 species